GUAAAUAUACUGCGGUAUGAAUGCCUCAUUAAUCGGAGGCUGCUUCUGUUCCUCUAGCUUUUUCUGCGCAUCCAAUAACUGCUGCAGCUGUUCCUGUAGAGCACGAAUCUGUUCAUCAGUAGCCAUCGUAUGCAGUGCCUGAAAAAAAAAUGAGAAUUAGAAAAAUAAAAAUAAAAAGAAAAAGUAAACGCCUGAAGUUCUACUAAGCCCUAUCGGAAAUAUUAAAGAAACUUCUAAUCAGUCCCCGGCAACGGCGCCAAAAAGUUGAUCACUAAUUUAUUAGCAAUAAAAUACCGCAACUAACACGGUGUAAUUGUAGUAUAAACAACAAUCGAAUAUCG
rnacentral:lncRNA from 1 species